GGAUGUGAGAGGGCAAUCUGGCUGCGACAUCUGUCACCCCAUUGAUCGCCAGGGUUGAUUCGGCUGAUCUGGCUGGCUAGGCGGGUGUCCCCUUCCACCCUCACCACUCUAUGUGCGUCCCUCCCCAAGCUGCGGGCUCGGUCGAAGAGGACGGCCUUCCCCGAAUAGAGAAGGACAGGUCAGUCGAGGGUAUACGAGUAGAUGUUCUUUUAUUUGUUUGUGUCUAUGGGAAAGAGCAUAGGACCCAGGAGACUUGAAAUCAUGCAUGGUCUGCUAAAGCUUU
rnacentral:sRNA from 1 species